AUACGAAGGGUGCAAGCGUUACUCGGAAUUACUGGGCGUAAAGCGUGCGUAGGUGGUUGUUUAAGUCUGUCGUGAAAGCCCUGGGCUCAACCUGGGAAUGGCGAUGGAAACUGGGCGACUAGAGUGUGGCAGAGGGUAGUGGAAUUCCUGGUGUAGCAGUGAAAUGAGUAGAGAUCAGGAGGAACAUCCGUGGCGAAGGCGACUGCCUGGGCCAACACUGACACUGAGGCACGAAAGCGUGGGGAGCAAACAGGAUUAGAUACCCUGGUAGUCCACGCCCUAAACGAUGCGAACUGGAUGUUGGGUGCAAUUUGGCACGCAGUAUCGAAGCUAACGCGUUAAGUUCGCCGCCUGGGGAGUACGGUCGCAAGACUGAAACUCAAAGGAAUUGACGGGG
rnacentral:rRNA from 1 species